rnacentral:ncRNA from 1 species
GUAAAAAAUUUAUAAGAAUAUGAUGUUGGUUCAGAUUAAGCGCUAAAUAAGGACAUGACACAUGCGAAUCAUACGUUUAUUAUUGAUAAGAUAAUAAAUAUGUGGUGUAAACGUGAGUAAUUUUAUUAGGAAUUAAUGAACUAUAGAAUAAGCUAAAUACUUAAUAUAUUAUUAUAUAAAAAUAAUUUAUAUAAUAAAAAGGAUAUAUAUAUAAUAUAUAUUUAUCUAUAGUCAAGCCAAUAAUGGUUUAGGUAGUAGGUUUAUUAAGAGUUAAACCUAGCCAACGAUCCAUAAUCGAUAAUGAAAGUUAGAACGAUCACGUUGACUCUGAAAUAUAGUCAAUAUCUAUAAGAUACAGCAGUGAGGAAUAUUGGACAAUGAUCGAAAGAUUGAUCCAGUUACUUAUUAGGAUGAUAUAUAAAAAUAUUUUAUUUUAUUUAUAAAUAUUUAAUAUUUAUAAUAAUAAUAAUAAUAAUAUAUAUAUAUAAAUUGAUUAAAAAUAAAAUCCAUAAAUAAUUAAAAUAAUGAUAUUAAUUACCAUAUAUAUUUUUAUAUGGAUAUAUAUAUUAAUAAUAAAAUUAAUUUAUUAUUAUUAAUAAUAUAUUUUAAUAGUCCUGACUAAUAUUUGUGCCAGCAGUCGCGGUAACACAAAGAGGGCGAGCGUUAAUCAUAAUGGUUUAAAGGAUCCGUAGAAUGAAUUAUAUAUUAUAAUUUAGAGUUAAUAAAAUUAAUUAAAGAAUUAUAAUAGUAAAGAUGAAAUAAUAAUAAUAAUUAUAAGACUAAUAUAUGUGAAAAUAUUAAUUAAAUAUUAACUGACAUUGAGGGAUUAAAACUAGAGUAGCGAAACGGAUUCGAUACCCGUGUAGUUCUAGUAGUAAACUAUGAAUACAAUUAUUUAUAAUAUAUAUUAUAUAUAAAUAAUAAAUGAAAAUGAAAGUAUUCCACCUGAAGAGUACGUUAGCAAUAAUGAAACUCAAAACAAUAGACGGUUACAGACUUAAGCAGUGGAGCAUGUUAUUUAAUUCGAUAAUCCACGACUAACCUUACCAUAUUUUGAAUAUUAUAAUAAUUAUUAUAAUUAUUAUAUUACAGGCGUUACAUUGUUGUCUUUAGUUCGUGCUGCAAAGUUUUAGAUUAAGUUCAUAAACGAACAAAACUCCAUAUAUAUAAUUUUAAUUAUAUAUAAUUUUAUAUUAUUUAUUAAUAUAAAGAAAGGAAUUAAGACAAAUCAUAAUGAUCCUUAUAAUAUGGGUAAUAGACGUGCUAUAAUAAAAUGAUAAUAAAAUUAUAUAAAAUAUAUUUAAUUAUAUUUAAUUAAUAAUAUAAAACAUUUUAAUUUUUAAUAUAUUUUUUUAUUAUAUAUUAAUAUGAAUUAUAAUCUGAAAUUCGAUUAUAUGAAAAAAGAAUUGCUAGUAAUACGUAAAUUAGUAUGUUACGGUGAAUAUUCUAACUGUUUCGCACUAAUCACUCAUCACGCGUUGAAACAUAUUAUUAUCUUAUUAUUUAUAUAAUAUUUUUUAAUAAAUAUUAAUAAUUAUUAAUUUAUAUUUAUUUAUAUCAGAAAUAAUAUGAAUUAAUGCGAAGUUGAAAUACAGUUACCGUAGGGGAACCUGCGGUGGGCUUAUAAAUAUCUUAAAUAUUCUUACA